ACAGGGCGCUCGCUCGCUCACUGAGUGCGUGGUGUUCGCGUUUGAUUUGAAUAGCUAGAAAUUUAAUUUAUAAAUACUAUAUAAAUGUUUAUCCCUUUGUUACACAAAGCUCGGAAAUUAGAUUUUCUUUUUUGUUUGGGUUUUUUUUUUUGGAGCUUGACUGUUCGUCACCAUUCUCAUCUUUAUCUUGUCAUAUGAAUGUAAAAAAUGACGGUUUAAAACGAAUGCGUGUAAGCUGACAGAAACCAGAGAGACGGAUAAGUGUAUUGCAGGAUAAGACAAAUGUUUUCGUUUGUUUUCUCAAAUGAGAACAUAAAAUGCACUUUUUGGAUGUGAUAAAGGUGAAUUUUGUUAACAUGAGUAGGGCCUAACCCUAACUGACAUGUAGGCUACUUGGUGGUCUUAAAGCCCCCAUGAAAUUAAAACGAAACUUUUUUCCUUUUAGCAUAAAUACGUUAGGCUUAAGAAUAAAUAUAAACUGGUUUGGUCCAAAACACUGACACAAUUUUCAUAUAGAAGAUAUAAGCAUUCAAUGGGGGAUUAUCACGCUGAUACGUAGUACUUCCGCUUUCAGCGAUCUUUAUGCACGUCCACUUCCGGUGGAUCGUAAUGCCAGUUCUGCUGGUCCAGACUGAACAGAAAAGGUGUCGAGAAAGUUGAUGCCGCCCAUGUGAGAAGCAAAAUCCAACUCGCCCAUGCUCCGGCCCUUGUGCCCUACCCUUCAGUUCGCGUUUAACAGACAACAGGAACGAUCCAGAUGUGUAGGCUCUGCCAUUCAUUGUUAAGCGGAUACAUCCAACCAGGGUGCAACUGACUGGAUACAUAAAUGCAUGUCCCAUAAACACGUUUCAACUGUGCUGUUCAGAGGAAAAGCAAAAAGAAACAUCUGAGACAGAGAAUUUCGACUGAACGUGCUGGAGUGCCAGCUGGAUUUUCUGCUGGAGUUUCUCCACCUUCACCUUCUCCUGAAGCCAAGAUCGAUCUAAACACACAUGCACAGACGGACAUCAACACAAAGGCAGAGAACAGGGCGAUCUCGUCUUCAGAGAGGUGCAUAGAACACAAGUUUUUCCCAAACUCGAAGACAGAGCUGAUCAAAUCAUCGCAGCCUGUCACAGCGGAGACAAGGAAAGAGAUCUUGCAGGGAAUUAUUUCGAUUUGAGCUGCGGAAAAAGAAAAGAGACUGUCAGGAUUUUUCACUGUCACCAGUCACAGCGCAACACCUCCUCCACGGCUGCAUGUUGCGACAUGAAACGGCGCCGAGCUUCAAACGCAUCACAUCCCUGCCACCCAGUCUCAGCUGCAUGGUGUUUGGAAGAGGCUAUCUUGACAUUAAACAGAAAACCCUCAUAAAGCGCUGCAAUCAUGAUGUCAGCUUGCACACACAAAAAAGGCCUCCUCUGCUUCCCGCCGAGACUUUGGGCUCAAACGGCACCUCCACAUGGCUCCCAUCACAGACAGAGAUGCGACUAAGCAACUGUGGGUACAGGACCAAACCUACGGGACCAGCCUUCUUUCUGACCUUCCCCAGACCCUACGCUUAAGCCGGAGAGAAGGAAGUACUCUCGCUUACAAAGGCCUCCACAUGAGACACUCGCAAAGCUCUUUGUCUCCUGCCUGGAUCACGCUGCGGGUUGCUGUGCCGAAAUGGUGCUUCCUUUGUCUAUGGAGAGCGCUAAACCGAAAUUGUUCUGCUGAAAAAAUCUUCACAGCAAGGUGACAUGCAAAGAACUUCCAUCAGAGCAGGGAACUCUGCAGCCACAGGGCACAUCGCAUCUCACCGCGCACCUGAAUCCCAGGAGCCGGAGAGACAGAGUCACGAAGAAGAGAAAGACGAACCGAGAGGUGCAUUUGCAUCAUGUCAACGUUCUCACCGUGUUGCUCCAACAAACACAAAUCAAAGUAUGCAAACCCUCCACAAGCAUAAAUACUUAUCUUUAAAUUUAAAAACAUGCUACUUGCUCCUGACCACCAGGGGUCCCAUCAAUUAUUGCUUAACUUCAAAAUAUUGUUGUCAAACAAUUUAAGCAAGCAGUAAACAAACUGACUGUCCACUUGAAAAAUGUUACCAACCCUGCCAUAUUAACAUUGCAUGCAUCUAAAUGUGUUUGUUAGGUAAACUAACCCAAUAUGUGUUAAAUUUUGAAUUCAAACUCAGUGCAAGAGGCAUGCAAGAGUUCACCAUACUCUAUUUUUAUUUACGAAUGCCAUGUGUGGCAAAGCUUGACGUUGCACAUCGCUGAGACUUUGAAUCACUGAAGCUCAAACAUCAGAAGAGACAUUUUUAGAGUCAUGCUCUUGCUGUUUAAUUCUUAGUCUGAGGAUGCUCUUUUUUCAACUCAAACUGAAUACAAAUGUGACUUUGCCAGCACAAAUUUUUCCAAUAUCCUCAUAUUCGACGGCGAGCACUGCAGCAUAGGCCGGACCUAUAUGGACGCAAUAUGAAUUUGAGUCGGCUGAUUUAAUCUUUGAUUUCGAAACCUCGGUCCUCUAUAGCCAAGUGCUUUAGUUAAACACCAAUCAGACUGCACAGAGUUCUCAAGGGAACCAAUCCGGCUCAAUAGAUGACAAAACAACAUAAAAAUGGUGGUAUGAACAUAUAGUAAAAGGUUCAAAAACAGCCUGUGCAAUUACACAGAGAAAACCUUUACACAGCAACAAAGAGGCUUGUUUCACCGCACAGGGGAAUUCUCCUGAUGCUUUACCACCAUAAUUGCUGCAUUAGUAUGCAAUUCCACAAGAAGCAUCACGGCUGUGGAUUUUCACUGGAUAUAAUCUGCAAAAUAAGACGUAAAUGUAACAACAGUAUCACAGGUUGUGUGUCUUGCUAGGGUUGGCAAGUGUAAAUGAGGUCUUUAGGUCUCCGCAUGAAGUGUCGAUAUACGGACCAAAAU